GACGAACGCUGGCGGCGUGCUUAACACAUGCAAGUCGAACGGAAAGGCCCUUCUUUUGUGGGGUGCUCGUGUGGCGAACGGGUGAGUAACACGUGAGUAACCUGCCCUUGACUUUGGGAUAACUUCAGGAAACUGGGGCUAAUCCCGGAUAGGAGCUCCUGCUGCAUGGUGGGCGUUGGAACGUCUCGGCGGUUGGGGAUGGACUCGCGGCUUAUCAGCUUGUUGGUGGGGUAGUGGCUUACCAAGGCUUUGACGGGUAGCCGGCCUGAGAGGGUGACCGGCCACAUUGGGACUGAGAUACGGCCCAGACUCCUACGGGAGGCAGCAGUGGGGAAUAUUGCACAAUGGGCGGAAGCCUGAUGCAGCAACGCCGCGUGCGGGAUGACGGCCUUCGGGUUGUAAACCGCUUUCGCCUGUGACGAAGCGUGAGUGACGGUACUGGGUAAAGAAGCACCGGCUAACUACGUG
rnacentral:rRNA from 1 species